rnacentral:rRNA from 1 species
GCUUGCUUCUCUGAUGUUAGCGGCGGACGGGUGAGUAACACGUGGAUAACCUACCUAUAAGACUGGGAUAACUUCGGGAAACCGGAGCUAAUACCGGAUAAUAUUUUGAACCGCAUGGUUCAAAAGUGAAAGACGGUCUUGCUGUCACUUAUAGAUGGAUCCGCGCUGCAUUAGCUAGUUGGUAAGGUAACGGCUUACCAAGGCAACGAUGCAUAGCCGACCUGAGAGGGUGAUCGGCCACACUGGAACUGAGACACGGUCCAGACUCCUACGGGAGGCAGCAGUAGGGAAUCUUCCGCAAUGGGCGAAAGCCUGACGGAGCAACGCCGCGUGAGUGAUGAAGGUCUUCGGAUCGUAAAACUCUGUUAUUAGGGAAGAACAUAUGUGUAAGUAACUGUGCACAUCUUGACGGUACCUAAUCAGAAAGCCAYGGCUAACUACGUGCCAGCAGCCGCGGUAAUACGUAGGUGGCAAGCGUUAUCCGGAAUUAUUGGGCGUAAAGCGCGCGUAGGCGGUUUUUUAAGUCUGAUGUGAAAGCCCACGGCUCAACCGUGGAGGGUCAUUGGAAACUGGAAAACUUGAGUGCAGAAGAGGAAAGUGGAAUUCCAUGUGUAGCGGUGAAAUGCGCAGAGAUAUGGAGGAACACCAGUGGCGAAGGCGACUUUCUGGUCUGUAACUGACGCUGAUGUGCGAAAGCGUGGGGAUCAAACAGGAUUAGAUACCCUGGUAGUCCACGCCGUAAACGAUGAGUGCUAAGUGUUAGGGGUUUCCGCCCCUUAGUGCUGCAGCUAACGCAUUAAGCACUCCGCCUGGGGAGUACGACCGCAAGGUUGAACUCAAGGA